rnacentral:tRNA from 1 species
ACCUGGGUGGCUCAGUGGUUGAGCAUCUGCCUUUGGCUCAGGUCAUCGUGAUCCUGGAGUCCUGGGAUCAAGUCCCACAUCAGGUU